AGACCCAAGGCAACUCAGCUGUGAUUGAGAUAGACAUUGAGUCUUUUGGGAGACAGAAGGGAGGGAGAGUGCCAGUCAAAAGGGUUUCGUGAAGAAGGUUGCAUCUGACUGGGACAGUUAGGCCUCUGUGUACCACUUUAAAAGGAGUUAGGAGCUAUCAUCGCCCUCGUUUCGUGAAGGGCUGACCAGCGACUGAUCAUGGCUACGAUGUAAAGGUGUUGACUUUUCUAGUAAAUAUCCUCCAUGUCAAAGUCUAUCUCAAGAUCUGUUCCAGGACAACCCCGCCUGCAACAGGGCCCAUUUAUGUUCCAGCCAGCACGGUGAUCCUGAGUCUGGGAGGGUGCCCACAGACUGCUUUUGUGAGCAGCAUGCCUUCAGUGGCCAGUCCCCAAGCCCCUCAACUCCAUGUGGAGCAAGGACCAACCACCCCAUGGAGAAGAGGAACCCGCCUGCAAGGCGAGCCAAGAAGGGACCUUUGGAACCAGCCACACUGGACUCUGUAGGGGGCUGGAUGGCUGGCCCCAAAAGGAUAGGUCCAUGUCCUAAGCCCCAGAACCCGUAAAUAUUGCCUUAUUUGGAAAGAAAUUCUUUGUAGAUGUCAUUAGGGAUUUUGAGAUGAAGAGAUCAUCCUGUAUUAUGCAAGUGGGCCCUCAAUCCAAUGGCAAGUGUCCUUACAAGAGUAAGGCAGGGCUGGGUGUGGUGUCUCACACCUGUCAUCCCAGCACUUUGGGAGGCCAAGGCAGGAGAAUAGCUUGAGGCCAGGAGUUCAAGACUGGCCUGGGCAACGUAGUGAGACCCUCCAUCUCUACAAAAAAAAAAAAAAAAAACAGAAAAAAACCCCACAAAGAACUAGCCAGACGUGGUGGCACAUGCCUAUAGUCCUAGCUACUCAGGAGGCUGAAAUGGGAGGAUGGCUUGAGUCUGGGAGGCAGAGGUUGCAGUGAGCAGUGUUGCGCCACUGCACUACAGCCUGGACAACAGAGCAAGACCCUGUUUCAAAAAGAAAAAAAAGCGGGGGGAGUGAGGCUGAAGGAGAGACACACACCUAGAGAAGAAGGUGAUGUAAAGAUGCAAAAAUAGGGCCAGGCGCAGUGGCUUACGUCUGUAAUCCCAGCACUUUGGGAGGCUGAGGUGGGCGGAUCAUGAGAUCAAGAGAUCAAGACCAUCCUGGUCAACAUGGUGAAACCCCCUCUCUACUAAAAAUACAAAAAUUAUCUGGGUGUGGUGGCGGGCGCCUGUAGUCCCAGCUACUCGGGAGGCUGAGGCAGGAGAAUUGGUUGAACCCAGGAGGCAGAGGUUGCAGUGAGCCGAGAUUGCACCACUGCACUCCAGCCUGGGCAACAGAGUGAGACUCUGUCUCAAAAAAAAAAAAAAAAGAAGAAGUAAAAAUGGGAGUGACAUGGUUACAGCCAAGGAAGCCGAAGAGGCAAGAUGGGAGCCUCCCUCAGAGACUCCAGAGGCAGCACGGCCCUGCCAAUGCCUUGUUUCUGCUUCAGGCCUCCAACGCUGGGAGAAUAGAGUUCUGCCGCUUUUGAAGCCACUCUGUGAGAAUUCCAUACAGCAGUCACAGGAAACUAAGAUAGCUCCCACACCCAGUUUCCACUUCACAACCUUGAGAAGCUGGGGAAGCCGUUCUGGAGGUGCCAGGGACUGGGCACCGAGCCAGCCUGGGCUGGGGUCAGAGGCAAGAGGAGAGCUCUCUAGAGGAAGCCUUUAUCUUGGAGUUUGUUCUUGAGUAGGAAGUGUUCACGGGGCAGGUGGUGGUGGUGGGGCGGCGUGUGCAUAAUUUUCAACAGCCCAGAGAACUGAAUAUCAUGGGGCUGUCUAGAAAUUUUGACUUGCAGAUAUGGCAGGAAUGGGAGGUACCUAGAAGGGAGAGAAGGGAGACAUAACUCAACAGGAGGCCAGGGCCCGGUCGCAGAGGCCACUGCGUGCCUGUGGGAGGCUUGCUCUUGAUGUGAGAUUUUUCUUCUAACUUUGUAUUUUAGAACAGAUUUAAAGUUUCAGAAACGAAUUCCAAGUUUGUAUAGAGUUUAUGUAUACUGUUUCCCCUAAUAUUAGCAUCUUACCUGAGUGUGGGUAUAUUUGUUACAAUUAUUGAACCUAUGUCAGUCCAUGAACUGAACCUAUGUCAGUCAUGAACUGAAGUCCAUAGAUGAUUCAGAUUUCCUUUGUUUUCCCGAACGUCCUUUUCUGGGCCGGGACCCCAUCUAGGACCCCACAUUGCAUUCAGUCGGUGUGUCUCCCUAGGCUCCUCUUGGUUGUGACAGUUUCUCAGACUUUCCUUGUCUUUGAUGACCUUGACAGUUUUGAGGAGACUGUCCUUCAAUUCGGAUUUGUCCCGCGCUUUUCUCACAGUUAGACUGCGGUUGUGGGUUUUGGGGAGGAAGACCACAGAAGCAAAGGGUGAUUUUUACGCCAUCAUAACAAAGGUGUGCCCUGUCACCAUGACUUACCUCUGUUACCGUUGAGCUCGGUCACCCGGCUGAGGUAGUGAGACUUCUCCACUGUAACCCUCCCUUUCCACACUGCACUCUUUGGAAGAAGGUCACUAUGCACAGCCCACACUUAAGGGUGGAAAGUUAUGCUCCAACUUUUUUUUUUUUUUUUUUUUUUUGAGACAGAGUCUCACUCUGUCGCCAGGCUGGAGUGCAAUGGCGCGAUCUUGGCUCACUGCAAGCUCCGCCUCCUGGGUUCAAGCGAUUCUCCUGCCUCAGCCUCCUGAGGAGCGGGGACUAUAGGUGCCUCCCACCACGCCCAGCUAAUUUUUGUAUUUUUAGUAGAGAUGAGGUUUCACUAUGUUGACCAGGAUGGUCUCGAUCUCUUGACCUCGUGAUCCGCCCGCCUGGGCCUCCCACAGUGCUGGGAUUACAGGUGUGAGCCACUGUACCCACCCACUAUGCUCCAACUCCUUGAGGUGUGAGGGGUUUUAAGCAGGAAAUUUGCAUGGUAAGAUUAUCUUCUUAAAACCCAGUGUUGACAAAAUGUGGGGAAGUAGACAGACACCCUUAUAUUCUGUUGGUGCAAGUGUAGUUUGGAGCAGUGUUUUAGGGGGACAAUUUGACACAUCCUUCAAAUGUUACAUGCAUAUACCCUUUGACCCAGCAAGUCAAUCCUGCAGAAAUGUCCACCCACAGGCAGAGCGAUACCUGGACAGAAUUCCAGUGGUGGCACUGUUGGUAGCCAACUAAACUGUGAAAAGAACCGAAUGGUCAUUUAUAGGGCAAUGGAUGGGAAAACUGGGAGAUCUGUAUCAUGAAAUACUAAGUAGCCAUCAAAGAGGAGUUAAAUCUACAAGUGUGGACAUGUGAAGUUCUCCAAGAUAGGUUACAAGUGCAAAAGUCGUCACAGGCAUAUUAUAUGUGUGAUCCGAAUCCACUACAUGAAUAAAAAGAGCUGCACAUUGGUAUGUGCACAUAUGGAUGGAAGGUGCAUAGCGGGACCCACAAGGAACCAGAACUUGGCGGCUCUACGGAAAGGGACCCUGGGAGUAAGGGUGGGGACUGGGGAGGAGGGCAUUUCUACUUCUCAUUUUAUACCUCUCUGUAGUGUUUGACAUUUUGCACAAUAAGCAAGUAUUGCUUUCAUGAUAAAAUGUCUUUAAUAUUAAAAAUAUUUCUUUGAAGUUUUGCAUUUGAAGAAACCUCCCGUGGGUGCUUGUGAAGGGUGAGGUGGGGGAUCCAGGGUGGAGUGGAGAGACCCAUUAGGAGCAUCCAGGGUGUUUAUAUGGCACCUGGGACACAGGAGAAGAAGGUGGGUUGGGGAGUUACUUAGGAAGCAG
rnacentral:lncRNA from 1 species